rnacentral:piRNA from 1 species
UCAAAAUGGCCUCGCCGGUGUACUUCCC